GACGAACGCUGGCGGCGUGCUUAACACAUGCAAGUCGAACGGAAAGGCCCUGCUUUUGUGGGGUGCUCGAGUGGCGAACGGGUGAGUAACACGUGAGUAACCUGCCCUUGACUUUGGGAUAACUUCAGGAAACUGGGGCUAAUACCGGAUAGGAGCUCCUGCUGCGUGGUGGGGGUUGGAAAGUUUCGGCGGUUGGGGAUGGACUCGCGGCUUAUCAGCUUGUUGGUGGGGUAGUGGCUUACCAAGGCUUUGACGGGUAGCCGGCCUGAGAGGGUGACCGGCCACAUUGGGACUGAGAUACGGCCCAGACUCCUACGGGAGGCAGCAGUGGGGAAUAUUGCACAAUGGGCGGAAGCCUGAUGCAGCAACGCCGCGUGCGGGAUGACGGCCUUCGGGUUGUAAACCGCUUUCGCCUGUGACGAAGCGUGAGUGACGGUAAUGGGUAAAGAAGCAUCGGCUAACUACGUG
rnacentral:rRNA from 1 species